GUGCUCGCUUCGAUAGCACAGAUACUAAAAUUGGAAUGAUACAGAAAAGAUUAGCAUGGCCCCUGCGCAAGGAUGACAGGCAAAUUCAUGAAGCGUUCAUAUUUUGU
ensembl:snRNA U6 U6 spliceosomal RNA